UGGGGAAUUUUGCACAAUGGGGGAAACCCUGAUGCAGCGACGCCGCGUGAUUUAGAAGGCCUUCGGGUUGUAAAAAUCUUUUCUAUGGGAAGAAAAUGACAGUACCAUAGGAAUAAGGACCGGCUAAUUACGUGCCAGCAGCCGCGGUAAUACGUAAGGUCCGAGCGUUGUCCGGAAUCAUUGGGCGUAAAGGGUACGUAGGCGGGUAAGCAAGUUAGAAGUGAAAUCCUAUAGCUCAACUAUAGUAAGCUUUUAAAACUGCUCAUCUUGAGGUAUGGAAGGGAAAGUGGAAUUCCUAGUGUAGCGGUGAAAUGCGCAGAUAUUAGGAGGAAUACCGGUGGCGAAGGCGGCUUUCUGGCCAUAACCUGACGCUGAGGUACGAAAGCGUGGGUAGCAAACAGG
rnacentral:rRNA from 1 species